rnacentral:rRNA from 1 species
AGCAGCCGCGGUAAUUCCAGCUCCAAUAGCGCAUAUUAAAGUUGUUGCAGUUAAAAAGCUCGUAGUUGAAUUUCGGGAUCGAAUUGUUGGUCGUGCUUCGGUACGUACUGGCAUUAUUGGUUCCUACCUUCUGAAGAACCGCGAUGUCAUUAAUUUGGUGUCGUGGGGAAUCAGGACUGUUACUUUGAAAAAAUUAGAGUGUUUAAAGCAGGCGCACGCUUGAAUACAUUAGCAUGGAAUAAUGAAAUAGGACGUUUGAUUCUAUUUUGUUGGUUUCUAGGAUCGACGUAAUGAUUAAUAGGGAUAGUUGGGGGCAUUAGUAUUCAAUUGUCAGAGGUGAAAUUCUUGGAUUUAUUGAAGACUAACUACUGCGAAAGCAUUUGCCAAGGAUGUUUUCAUUAAUCAAGAACGAAAGUUAGGGGAUCGAAGACGAUCAGAUACCGUCGUAGUCUUAACCAUAAACUAUGCCGACUAGGGAUCGGAUGAUGUUAAUUUUAUAAUGACUC